CCGUAGUGGCGGACGGGUGAGUAACGCGUGGGUAACCUGCCUCACACUGGGGGAUAACAGUUAGAAAUAGCUGCUAAUACCGCAUAAGCGCACGGUACCGCAUGGUACAGUGGUAAAAACUCCGGUGGUAUGAGAUGGACCCGCGUCUGAUUAGGUAGUUGGUGGGGUAACGGCCUACCAAGCCGACGAUCAGUAGCCGACCUGAGAGGGUGACCGGCCACAUUGGGACUGAGACACGGCCCAG
rnacentral:rRNA from 1 species